GACGAACGCUGGCGGCGUGCUUAACACAUGCAAGUCGAACGGAAAGGCCCUGCUUUUGUGGGGUGCUCGAGUGGCGAACGGGUGAGUAACACGUGAGUAACCUGCACUUGACUUUGGGAUAACUUCAGGAAACUGGGGCUAAUACCGGAUAGGAGCUCCUGCUGCAUGGGGGGGGUUGGAAAGUUUCGGCGGUUGGGGAUGGAUUCGCGGCUUAUCAGCUUGUUGGUGGAGUAGUGGCUUACCAAGGCUGUGACGGGUAGCCGGCCUGGGAGGGUGACCGGCGACAUUGGGACUGAGGUACGGCCCAGACUCCUACGGUAGGCAGCAGUGGGGAACAUGGCGCAAUGGGCGGAAGCCAGAUGCAGCAACGCCGCGUGCGGGAUGACCGCCUUCGGGUUGUAAACCGCUUUCGCCUGUGACGAAGCGGGAGUGACGGUAAUGGGUAAAGAAGCACCGGCUAACUACGUG
rnacentral:rRNA from 1 species